AUUGCACGCUGGCGGCAGGCCUAACACAUGCAAGUCGAACGAGUGGCGGACGGGUGAGUAAUGUCUGGGAAACGGCCCGAUGGAGGGGGAUAACUACUGGAAACGGUAGCUAAUACCGCAUCCCAUCGGAUGUGCCCAGAUGGGAGUUGGUGGUAGGGGGGGGAACGGCUCACCUAGGCGACGAUCCAUAGCUGGUCGGAGAGGAUGACCAGCCACACUGGAACUGAGACACGGUCCAGACUCCUACGGGAGGCAGCAGUGGGGAAUAUUGCACAAUGGGCGCAAGCCUGAUGCAGCCAUGCCGCGUGUAUGAAGAAGGCCUUCGGGUUGUAAAGUACUUUCAGCGAGGAGGCGUUACUCGCAGAAGAAGCACCGGCUAACUCCGUGCCAGCCGCCGCGGUAAUUC
rnacentral:rRNA from 1 species